rnacentral:rRNA from 1 species
GAUGAACGCUGGCGGCGUGCCUAAUACAUGCAAGUCGAGCGAACAGAUAAGGAGCUUGCUCCUUUGACGUUAGCGGCGGACGGGUGAGUAACACGUGGGUAACCUACCUAUAAGACUGGGAUAACUUCGGGAAACCGGAGCUAAUACCGGAUAACAUUUGGAACCGCAUGGUUCUAAAGUGAAAGAUGGUUUUGCUAUCACUUAUAGAUGGACCCGCGCCGUAUUAGCUAGUUGGUAAGGUAACGGCUUACCAAGGCGACGAUACGUAGCCGACCUGAGAGGGUGAUCGGCCACACUGGAACUGAGACACGGUCCAGACUCCUACGGGAGGCAGCAGUAGGGAAUCUUCCGCAAUGGGCGAAAGCCUGACGGAGCAACGCCGCGUGAGUGAUGAAGGGUUUCGGCUCGUAAAACUCUGUUAUUAGGGAAGAACAAAUGUGUAAGUAACUGUGCACGUCUUGACGGUACCUAAUCAGAAAGCCACGGCUAACUACGUG